rnacentral:rRNA from 1 species
GUUCCUACGGGGGGUAGCAGUGGGGAAUAAUGGGGAAUGGGUGAAAGCCUGACCCAGCAACGCCGCGUGAAGGAAGAAGGCUUUCGGGUUGUAAACUUCUUUUAUGAGGGACGAAAGAAAUGACGGUACCUCAUGAAUAAGCCCCGGCUAACUACGUGCCAGCAGCCGCGGUAAUACGUAGGGGGCAAGCGUUAUCCGGAUUUACUGGGUGUAAAGGGAGCGUAGGCGGUUUAGCAAGUCAGAAGUGAA